rnacentral:rRNA from 1 species
CCUACGGGAGGCAGCAGUGGGGAAUAUUGCGCAAUGGGCGGAAGCCUGACGCAGCGACGCCGCGUGAGGGAUGACGGCCUUCGGGUUGUAAACCUCUUUCAGCUCUGACGAAGCGUGAGUGACGGUAGGAGCAGAAGAAGCACCGGCCAACUACGUGCCAGCAGCCGCGGUAAU